GGAUAUGGGAGCUAUUUCUUCAUUUAAUCAGGUCUUUGCUGUUUGUUUCUAAGCGUUGACUUGAUCUUGCUUUGAAUGGUUUCUAGAGACGUUGGAGCAGUCAUUUAAGCGUGACUGUGAUGAUGAGCGUUUUACUUUGCUUGCAUUUCGCUGUUUCUUGAAUGUUAGCGAUGAGUUAAAGAGGUCUGCUGACUCGCCAUUUUUAUUGAUAACAAAAACGUUUUGUUUUGAUUUUUGUGUCACUUGUUGAUGCAUUAUUCAAUUAUCAAGUCUUACGGUGGAUCACUCGGUUCGUAGGUCGAUGAAAAACGGGGCAAAACCGUUAUUUGGGUGAAUUGCAGACAUAUUGAGCGCUAAAAUUUUGAACGCAAUGGCACUAACAGGGUUAUCUGUAGUAUGUUCAAUUGAGGGUCUUUUGACUAGAAUCUGGCAAUCGGCUGUGAUUGCUUUUCGGAAAGUUAUUUUGCUUUUUCUAAAGUGAGUACUUUUUGGUAUGGCUAUUUGAUUGUCUAAUGGAUGUCUGGUUAGCUGUUUCUUUGCUAGACGUCUGCAAUCAUUUGGCUUUGCGUAGUGUUUGAAUAAUAGGUUAGCGCGUUUCUUGCUAACUGACUUUUGCACAAGCAAGUGUAAUACGUUUCUAAAGUCAGCUUUUAUUCAAUUUGGUUUUCUGACUUGAUUUGUCGGUUAACUGUGCUAUGCUUUGUCAAUCUUUUCUAACUAGACCUCAAUUUGAGCAAGAUUACCCGCUGAAAUUUAAAGCAUAUAAAUUUAAAGCAUAU
rnacentral:rRNA from 1 species